GGUAUGUACUAGCUUGCUGAUUCCUCCUUCUUGUAGAACCGUAAUGCCAUUAAUUUGGUGUUGCGGGGAAACAGGACUGUUACUUUGAAAAAAUUAGAGUGUUUAAAGCAGGCUAGCGCCUGAAUACAUUAGCAUGGAAUAAUGAAAUAGGACGUUCGAACCUAUUUUGUUGGUUUCUAGGAUUGACGUAAUGAUCAAUAGGGAUAGUUGGGGGCAUUAGUAUUCAAUUGUCAGAGGUGAAAUUCUUGGAUUUAUUGUAGACUGACUACCGCGAAAGCAUUUGCCAAGGAUGUUUUCAUUAAUCAAGAACGAAAGUUAGGGGAUCGAAGACGAUCAGAUACCGUCGUAGUCUUAACCAUAAACUAUGCCGACUAGGGAUCGGAUGAUGUUAAUUUUUUAAUGACUCAUUCGGCGCCUUACG
rnacentral:rRNA from 1 species